GUGGGGAAUCUUCCGCAAUGGACGAAAGUCUGACGGAGCAACGCCGCGUGAGUGAUGAAGGUCUUCGGAUUGUAAAGCUCUGUUAAUCGGGACGAAAGAGCCUAGUGUGAAUAAUGCUAGGAAGUGACGGUACCGGAAUAGAAAGCCACGGCUAACUACGUGCCAGCAGCCGCGGUAAUACGUAGGUGGCAAGCGUUGUCCGGAAUUAUUGGGCGUAAAGCGCGCGCAGGCGGAUCUGCCAGUCUGUCUUAAAAGUUCGGGGCUUAACCCCGUGAUGGGAUGGAAACUACAGAUCUAGAGUAUCGGAGAGGAAAGUGGAAUUCCUAGUGUAGCGGUGAAAUGCGUAGAUAUUAGGAAGAACACUAGUGGCGAAGGCGACUUUCUGGACGAAAACUGACGCUGAGGCGCGAAAGCCAGGGGAGCGAACGGGAUUAGAAACCCCGGUAGUCC
rnacentral:rRNA from 1 species